rnacentral:rRNA from 1 species
CCUACGGGUGGCCGCAGUGGGGAAUAUUGGACAAUGGGCGAAAGCCUGAUCCAGCCAUGCCGCGUGUGUGAAGAAGGCCUUCGGGUUGUAAAGCACUUUCAGUGGGGAAGAAAGCCUUGGGGCUAAUACCCUCGAGGAAGGACAUCACCCACAGAAGAAGCACCGGCUAACUCCGUGCCAGCAGCCGCGGUAAUACGGAGGGUGCGAGCGUUAAUCGGAAUUACUGGGCGUAAAGCGCGCGUAGGCGGUCUGAUAAGCCGGUUGUGAAAGCCCCGGGCUCAACCUGGGAACGGCAUCCGGAACUGUCAGGCUAGAGUGCAGGAGAGGAAGGUAGAAUUCCCGGUGUAGCGGUGAAAUGCGUAGAGAUCGGGAGGAAUACCAGUGGCGAAGGCGGCCUUCUGGACUGACACUGACGCUGAGGUGCGAAAGCGUGGGUAGCAAACAGGAUUAGAUACCCGGGUAGUC